GGCCGUAUUUCUUUGUACAGCAAAGACCAUGGUCUUUAACCUGUACUUUUCAUCACUGUUAUGAAACUGUCUCCUUUACCCAGACCUACUACACCAGAUUUUUGACAAAGUUACAGUUUCAUUUGAGAAUAUUUGACUUGUGAUGACCCAAACGUUCUGGAAAACAUUCCCUAAAGUUUGGCUCCUUUCUCAUUUUCCAGGCUUGAUGCUCUAACCAUUCUGGCACUUCCUGUCCAGAGAGAUAAGAGCUGCAUAAUUUGUGAACCUUCCUAAUGGGCUGCUUUCACUCUUACCUGUCUAGUGUUUAGAUAAGCAUUUUAACAGUUUUUAAAAGUCUAGUCCUGUACAGUAUAAACACUAUCUAAAAGUGGUUUUGUAGAAAUCCUGCAUUAAAUGUCUGUGGCUUUUAUGUCCUUAAUAUACACUUGAUUUCUCUAAGUAUUGAUUUCGGGUAUGUCUUUGUACAGGACCUCAUUUCUUCUUCUAUUCAGCCACAAUCAUCAUCAUCAUCAUCACUGGAGUGUUCAGCUUCUCAGACACCAUCUCAGUGAAAUGACAACAAAGACCAUAAGGACAUUUCUGCAGGUGUCAGAGGUGCCCAGCAGGAAAACUUCCCAAACAUGGCAUUGGGAUGCCCAAUGCUGUGGCUGUCCCCACUCCUCCCUGAGGACCCAAUCCCAGAGGCAACUGGACACAGCACCAUCCUCUCAUUGCCUACAGCCAUUCAACACAGCUUUAUUGACUUCUGGGCUCUGGAGACGCACCACCAGUGGCUCUGGGAGUAAAAAGCAGCAAGUGGUCUUCAGCAAUGUCUCCUCUGGCUGUUCCCUUCUACCAGGGCACCACUGUCAAACAUGACCGUGAUGUAACGCUGGGAUGUCACCACCAUGCAGCACAGGCAUUGCAGUGACGUGCCAGAAUAUCCCACUGGUAGCCACAAUCAGCCGGCGCCAGUUGGCCUUUGCUUGCUGGCUGGCAGGACAAGGCCUGGCUGUCCAGGGCAAUGGCCAGCAAAGGAAACUUCGGCCCAGCUGGGGCAAAAGGAACUAAAAGGGAAUUGACUCCCGCAGAAACACCAUCCCUUUCUGUUCCACACGAGCCAGGGCCAUCGGCAGACAUGAUUUCUCCUGGCUUUCCAGGACAGGGGGAAAGACCACCCUGUGGCGCUGCUGUACGAGCAGGAAAAGAGAGUGGGGUAAGGAAUGAGUUUUAAACAAUUGCCCUGGUGAUUUAAGGACAUUUUUUCAUAAGUUUGUAUCAAAACCAUGUGUCAUUGCCCUUUUUAAGUCAACACCCUUCAGAGAAGGCAAGGGGAUUACUCAGAGGCAGGUCCUGAACAGUAUAGCUAUGUAUAAGCAAAGGGGAUGGAGGGAGAGUCAUUUGGCUGCUUUUUGGAUGAGAAAGCAUCAUCUUGGUAGUCUUGGGAAUAAAGACCAUAAGCAGUUUGCAACCAUCUGACCCCAGGCUAUGACUUGCCCUUCUCAGAGUGCAACAGGACUGAGUGUGGGCAGUGCUGAGCAGAGAUCCUGCAGGAGAAUGUGAACUCUUCAGGAAGUGGUGUUGACUUGACAGCGAGGCAGCAUGCAAGGACAGCAUUAGGGCACUGCACUAUUUUAGGGACUAGGUCUUGGGUGUAGUAUAACAUGGACAGGCCAAACUACAGUCACCACCGAAGACUUUGGAGCUCCUCUCGGGAAAACAUCUAUUCCCAGUGAUUUGAUGAUAGGCAAAUAGCCUAUUCUUUCAGAGCUUAGUAACUUUGGAAGUUUAAGCAAGAAAUAAGCGUUCUUCACUUCCUGCCCUGAUACACCAGGUGAUGCUCUGAAUGGUUUAUCAGCAGUGCAUUAGAGAACACCAUUUCAACAGAGAGAUAAAGCUUGUGUGCAUAUUUCUUCCGUGACCACUUUGAAGUGCAUUUUAAGUGCAAGAUCUUAUAUGUGCAUAGUCACAAACAUAUUGGCUUCUUAGCAUGUUUAGCCCAACAUCAUGCCAACUCUCCCAAUCUUGCUUUCUCUGUUGUAGCAUGUUCCAAAGGGAAGUAGCAGAAGACUCACACUACUUUGCUUACCAACUAUAAGCCAUGUAAAUAGAUGAGUGCUUCAUUUGCAUGCACAUAUAUCUGAUAACUGCAUCUAGGGCAAGCUUACAGGAAAAAAAAAAAAAGCUCAUUUUUCCCUCUUGAGGUGGGACUGAGCAUCCACAAAGUGGUGUGGGAUAGAAAAAUUGCACAGGCACAACAUAAGUCUUGGAUCUGAAAUGCAUUUAUUCUGGGUGUUUGAUUGGAGAUAUCACAUGGGACCUCUUUCUCUGAUGUUAGGAUGUUCUGCUCCCUCAAGAUCAGUAUCCUCCUGGACACCAUGAAAUAGACUUAUUCAAUGUCAUUAGUCCCUUCUCUGACCUGUAGGUCCCUGCUGUCACCAACCACGUACCCCGAUGCCUCCAAAGCCAAGUUAGUCUCACUGACAUGCUGAACAGUUUCUCUUAAUGAAAUAUUCUAACAGGCACGUAACUCUCAGUCUCAGUGGCUUAGCUAUAAGUCUGUAUCUGAUUUUAAAAGAACCACCUUUAUGUUGUACAGAAAAGUUGCUGCUUUCUCUUACAGUCAGGGAUGGGGAGGCAUGGGUAGGAAGGGAGAAGACCUUGAAGUCUUCCUGUAAAUGAUAGCUUUCACCUAUAUCUUCAGCCUUUAAAAAUUUCUGUUUGGGGAGGAAUACUACAGCCAGUGUGUCCAAAGAACUUUGCUUCUGUAAAGGCCAGUCAAGUCCAACCAAAAGAUCUCUUUCAACUUCAGUGGUGGCAGGAUCUAUUCUAUGAUUUGGCCCUUAAACAGCAGCAGUUCAAAGCAAUGGGCACUAACAGAACAAACUAAGGUAUCGUUACUAUUGUUGAAGUUGUAAGCUGAAGUUGUAAUAAUUCUUAAUUAUUUGGAAGAGCAUUUUUGGUCACAGCUUGGUUAUACUGUAAUAAACAUCAAAAAGACA